rnacentral:misc_RNA from 1 species
GAUGAAGAACGCAGCGAAAUGCGAUACGUAAUGUGAAUUGCAGAAUUCAGUGAAUCAUCGAAUCUUUGAACGCAUAUUGCGCUCUCUGGUAUUCCGGAGAGCAUGCUUGUUUGAGUAUCAGUAAACACCUCAACUUCCAUAUCUUGUUUUGAAAUGGGAGUUGGACUUGAGUGAUCCCAACGCUUUUCCUCACCGAAAAGUGGCGGGUUACUUGAAAUGCAGGUGCAGCUGGACUUUUCUCUGAGCUAUAAGCAUAUCUAUUUAGUCUGCCUAAAAAACAGAUUAUUACCUUUGCUGCAGCUAACAUAAAGGAGAUUAGUUCUUGUGCUGACUGAUGCAGGAUUCACAAAGACAGCUUCGGCCGACUUUGUAAACUCGAUCUCAAAUCAAGUAAGACUACCCGCUGAACUUAAGCAUAUCAAUAAGCGGAGGA